rfam:Schistosoma rodhaini strain Burundi genome assembly, scaffold: SROB_contig0001645
ACCCAGCUGAUGAGUCACAAAUAGGACGAAACGCGCGUCGUGGAU